AUUGCCCCAUACCCUAUAGAACUGGCAUCGGUAUGCAACUCUAUCGGAAACUGUGGAUCGAAAAUAAUCAAAACAGGCUUAUGUGAGAAAAUAUAACGGCUUCAUUAAUUGUGAAAAACCCGGAAUGAAUUGACGAAAAUAUGACGCUAACCCAAUAAACUGUCUCAGAGUAGCAACUGAUUUCGGUGGAGGCAACGCCACUAGCGA